ACUCUAAAACUGGCUGCAGACAGUACUUCCACUUCUAGGGUAAUUGAAAGUUGGAAAUUGCCAUCUAGGGUGCUAGGGACUUUCUAGGGAUAUCGUCUUUAUUGGGAAUCUAGGGAUUUUCUAGGGUUUUUGCGAUUAUCUAUGCAGAGACAUAGGCCACUAUGGCUAUCUUGUGUUUUCCCUCUCAGAAAUGGGGUAGCCUUUUGCUGGGAAGAUAUUUUCCACCCGACAAGAGCGCCUCUUGCAGGUGUGUUAGUGUUCAUUCGACGCAAAGACUCAUUUGUAGCCAGAUGGCGCUCGCAACAGGCGAAAAAUCUCCGCCCUGAAAUCCUCGUUAUUUCCUAGUGUUCCUCGCAGGAGGGUAACCCUUUUCUGAGAGGGAAAAUGCAAAAUACAAAAUUGCAUAGUGGAGCAACCAUGGAUCUAUAGCUCUGAUCUACGCAAAAAAACAAAUCUGUCAAGUGGUGAUCGUGACCAGCUUAAAAACUGACACGACACGAUGCUGCAAACGUAUUUGGGAUGAAGUUAUCAACAAUACAUCACAUUUAUGUUCCAUUGCACAGCAGCUUUACCUAUUUGUGUAUUUUAGUAUAGUGGCAACCAAGUCGUUGUUCAUUUCGUCAUUCUUUUCAUAGCUGUCCAUUUCGAAACGAUCAAAGAGAGAUCGUAUUUGACCCUGGGUUUCCUUUUUCCUGGAAAGAUAAGAUUAGGUAUAUGCACCUACACAAUUCCUAAGGAUGGAAUGGACGUCAUUCCAUCACAUGAUAAUGAAGAUUCGAGACGAAAAUAACCACACAUGAGGCUUUUACUGGAUGGGAAUUUUGUGCAAUAAGGAUACGAUGGAACGAAAGUGUGACAAAAUAUGGAUAAAAAUUUGGACGAGAAUUUUGAAGCAUAUUUACAACGAGGGAAUUAAAAUGUGGCGGAAUAUAGGUUAAAAUUUUAAUGGAAUUUUGAAGCAUAUUUACAAGAAAAUAAGCAAGAAACUCGUGGCUAUACAGAAGAGGAGAAAAAAGAAAGGUAUCUACGGGCUAAGUUGAUAAUAACCACCUCAUUAUCUCGUGGAAAACGAGUGACUACCGAUUUUUACAGGCAGCAGUCAUCGUUUCUCCAGUGAGAAUCCCUUGCCAGGCACCAUUAGUUGGCCACCAAGCUUAGAAGUUGAGGUCCAUGAGUCCGACCAGAACCCCCGUUUAUGGGAAAGUUCCAAU